AAGUCGUGGGGCAGCAGGGGCGUAGCAAUACGUUCGCUGGCGACCGGCAAACGGGUGCGGAACACGUACACAACCUUCCUUAAAGUGGGGGAUAGCCCGGGGAAACCCGGAUUAAUACCCCGUAACAUAGUGAAGUGGCAUCGCUUUAUUAUUAUAGCAGCAAUGCGCUUAAAGAUGGGUGUGCGACUGAUUAGGCAGUUGGCGGGGUAACGGCCCACCAAACCUACGAUCAGUAACUGGUGUGAGAGCACGACCAGUCACACGGGCACUGAGACACGGGCCCGACUCCUACGGGAGGCAGCAGUAAGGAAUAUUGGUCAAUGGACGCAAGUCUGAACCAGCCAUGCCGCGUGGAGGAUGAAGGUCCUCUGGAUUGUAAACUUCUUUUAUCUGGGAAGAAAUCCACAAAUUCUUUUGUGGUUGACGGUACCAGAUGAAUAAGCACCGGCUAACUCCGUGCCAGCAGCCGCGGUAAUACGGAGGGUGCAAGCGUUAUCCGGAUUCACUGGGUUUAAAGGGUGCGUAGGUGGGUUGGUAAGUCAGUGGUGAAAUCUCCAGGCUUAACUUGGAAACUGCCAUUGAUACUAUCAAUCUUGAAUACCGUGGAGGUCAGCGGAAUAUGUCAUGUAGCGGUGAAAUGCUUAGAGAUGACAUAGAACACCAAUUGCGAAGGCAGCUGGCUACGCGGAUAUUGACACUGAUGCACGAAAGCGUGGGGAUCAAACAGGAUUAGAUACCCUGGUAGUCCACGCCCUAAACGAUGGAUACUCGACAUACGCGAUAUACUGUGUGUGUCUGAGCGAAAGCAUUAAGUAUCCCACCUGGGAA
rnacentral:rRNA from 1 species